rnacentral:rRNA from 1 species
GCGAUAGCCUCAGUAACGGCGAGUGAAGCGGCUACAGCUCAAAUUUGAAAUCUGGCCUCCUCUGGGGGUCCGAGUUGUAAUUUGCAGAGGAUGCUUUGGCAUUGGCGGCGGUCUAAGUUCCUUGGAACAGGACAUCGCAGAGGGUGAGAAUCCCGUACGUGGGCGCCUGCCUUUGCCGUGUAAAGCUCCUUCGACGAGUCGAGUUGUUUGGGAAUGCAGCUCUAAAUGGGAGGUAAAUUUCUCCUAAAGCUAAAUACCGGCCAGAGACCGAUAGCGCACAAGUAGAGUGAUCGAAAGAUGAAAAGUACUUUGGAAAGAGAGUCAAAUAGCACGUGAAAUUGUUGAAAGGGAAGCGCUUGCAGCCAGACUUGCCCGCAGUUGCUCACCUAGGCUUUCGCCUGGGGCACUCUUCUGCGGGCAGGCCAGCAUCAGUUUGGGCGGUCGGAUAAAGGCCUCUGUCAUGUACCACCCCUCGGGGUGGCCUUAUAGGGGAGGCGUAAUGCGACCAGCCCGGACUGAGGUCCGCGCAUCUGCUAGGAUGCUGGCGUAAUGGCUGUAAGCGGCCCGUCUUGAAACACGGACCAAGGAGUCUAACAUCUAUGCGAGUGUUUGGGUGUCAAGCCCGGGCGCGCAAUGAAAGUGAACGGAGGUGGGAACCCUUCGGGGUGCACCAUCGACCGAUCCUGAAGUCUUCGGAUGGAUUUGAGUAAGAGCAUAGCUGUUGGGACCCGAAAGAUGGUGAACUAUGCUUGAAUAGGGUGAAGCCAGAGGAAACUCUGGUGGAGGCUCGCAGCGGUUCUGACGUGCAAAUCGAUCGUCAAAUUUGGGCAUAGGGGCGAAAGACUAAUCGAACCAUCUAGUAGCUGG